GCGAGAGGAGGGAGCCGCUGCGAGCCGGGCUCGGGAUCCCCGAGCACCUCCUUUGAUAGCAUGCUUGUAUGGACCAUUCAUCACUAUUCUAAGACCUAAAUGAAGAUGUGUCACUCUGUGCCUCAAAGCAACAACCUGGAACCCCCAUAUUUACCUCUGUCAUAUAAUUAUGAUCUGUUUUGUACAAAGUAUGCCUUGUGAGGCAUCAUUUUAAAAGUCUUGAUCUGUUGAACAUCAAUAUCCUGUUGGACUGUGUGCUCUGUAAUUGUGUGUGAAGUUUUGCUAUGUGUGUGUUUCUCAAAUAUAUUGUGAGGCUUACAACACCCACAACCAAUCUUUCAGGUACAACAAAGGAACAGCCAGAUGCACUGAUAGUCCAUUAAAGGGAAUCCAUACUCCCUAGGACUAUCCUAGGAGCUGUAUACACUGGAAACUUCUCAGAGAUAGCAUGUAAACAUGGAGCAAGCUGGCAGAAGCUGUAAAAGAGGGGAAGUGACAUCAUCACUGGACCUCAGUCCCCCCAGAACUCAACACCUGGAAACACAUCCAGAGGAGAAAGACUUUGAACUGGAGACGUGGUCCCAGGCUGAAGGAAUAUUCCAGCCUGUGUACUGAAGAUCUGUAAUCUGCUUGUAUUAUCUAUCAGGGUGAGACACUGCUUGAUUAUAGAACUUAGAUUGUUAGCUUGCUUUUAUUUUCUUUGGUAAGCAUUCUAUCCUUUAUGCCCAUCACUUAUAAUUAGUUAAAAUCUAUCUUUCUGUCGUUAAUAAACCUGUUUUAUGUUUUACCUAAAAGUGUAUUUGGCACUGGGGAAAACUCUGCUCAGUGUACAAAAAGCUGGUGCAUGUCCUCUCCACAUUGAGGGAGAGGUGGACUGGGUAAUAAACUUACACUGGUCAGGCUUCUGACCAGGGCAAGACAGUACAACUCUGGGGUUCAUGUAACUCAGCUGGGUGUGUUCCUGCCUCUAGAUGUCUGUGUAAGUGCAGUACCUGGAGAGGGUUGCAGCUUUUCACAACAUCAGAGUGUGAGAGGAGCCCAGAUUGGUAAACCAGAGGGCUCAGUGGUACCCCAGUUCCAGGUUGCACCCUGGGGAACCCAUCACAGAAGACCUAUCCAGGCAGGAUCCUUCCGGUUUCAUGACUGUUAUACUUUCAGAAUCCUCUAUUUAAUAGCCAGACAUUUGCUGUUCUCUGAGUGUAAGGACGAGUCAUUGCUGAGACUGACUCUGGCAAGCAUCAAUACCAGCAGGAUUCAAUUGUAGAGUGAUUAGACAUUAUCCUCCUUACCUGGAGUACAAAUACACAAAGAAAUGAAGAAAGGGACUUCUGGCAGUUGUGUUGUGGUGCUGUAAAGCUACCAGAUUGGCUUGUUAUAUACAGGAAUUUCAGAUGUGUAGGAAUUUGAGACAUUACCAUAAGCUCCUCUAAAUUAACAAACCCCAUUGGAAAAAGAAUUGUACCACUUAAAUAAUUGUCCCAAUCUGUGAGAGUCACAUAAGUGUACAUUGUGAAGGAAGUACUUUUAUUAAUUGUUUUAAUAAUUAUCAUAAUCUAAAGCACUAAAUGAUUGAAAAAUCUAUAUUGAAGUCAUAUUGUUUCCUUUAGCAGUUAUAAGAGAGCAUGAAGACAUGAAAGAUCACAGGAUUUUUGCCUUAUGAAUCACACCAAUUCAUGCCUUUGCGUUAUUUAGAAUGACUGAAAUUCAUUAUACAGAAUUUGGUCCAUGGCAGUCAUCUGAUCUUAUCCCAGGGUGGUGUUUUUUCAGAAUGCAAUUUUAGAGGCAUUUAGUACAAUAGAGCAGUUUGCAGAAUGUUUGAGAACUUGUCUAUUGCAGAUGCCAAUAGGCUGUAGGUGUUGUAAACACUUGCAAGUUCCUUCUUAAGCCAUUUUGAGUUAAUGAGUAAUAUAUGAAUUCUUAUAUUGCUGUAUUCUUGCUUCAGGUCAGAAUUAUAUUUUGCCACAACAAAACUCGGGGCUCAAUAUAUUUUUUUCUUACACAAGGAUCUUACCUGAAUAGUAUAGUAUGAAAGAGUUGAGAAGCCCACUGAAAUUCUUGCUGAAAGCUUUUACUGCUGGAGCGAAGGUUCUCUGUACAUUAUUUUACCUGAUGUGUGUUUUUUGGGGAGUCACUUAAUUUUUCUAUCUGUAAAAUGAGGAUAAUUAUACUCACUCAGGGAUGUUGUGAAGGUUGAUUAGCAAUAUCACUGACACCAACUAUUCAGAAAUCAUGAGGCUGGUUUAAAAAGAAUAAGAUUUUAAAAUAUAAUAAAGGUGGUGUUCUU